GACUGGUCCAAUGGUAGUGGAUUAUCAGAACUUAUUAAUAUUAUUGUCACUAAAGUUGAUGUACAGUCCCCCACUACUAAAUUUGAUUGGCUUUAA
ensembl:misc_RNA Y_RNA Y RNA